rnacentral:rRNA from 1 species
GAUAAACGCUGGCGGCGCACAUAAGACAUGCAAGUUGAACGGACUUAAUCGAAAUAUUUAUAUUUUGAAGCGGUUAGUGGCGGACUGGUGAGUAACGCGUAAGGAACCUGCCUAUUAGAGGGGAAUAACAGUGAGAAAUCAUUGCUAAUACCGCAUAUGCCAUAGAUAUCACAUGAUAACAGUGGGAAAGGAGCAAUCCGCUAAUAGAUGGCCUUGCGUCUGAUUAGAUAGUUGGUGGGGUAACGGCCUACCAAGUCGACGAUCAGUAGCCGGACUGAGAGGUUGAACGGCCACAUUGGGACUGAGACACGGCCCAGACUCCUUCGGGAGACAGCAGUCGGGAAUAUUGCGCAAUGGAGGUAACUCUGACGCAGUGACGCCGCGUAUAGGAAGAAGGUUUUCGGAUUGUAAACUAUUGUCGUUAGGGAAGAGAAAGGACAGUACCUAAGGAGGAAGCUCCGGCUAACUACGUG